CUACAGUGAGGAUGUCAGAUCACAGUCAAGAACAACCUGUAGUUAGACCUCGGAGAACACUAAACCGUCCUGUUUACCUUACGGACUAUGACCUCACAGGACUUCAGUCUCUGCGUCAUUUAUCUCGACCUGAUAGAAACUGGGAAGAUGAAGCACAGCAUACAUCAGACCCCACUGGGUACAGUACCCCUGUUAGCCAGGCUCCCAGUCUAAAUGAGUGUCUCAUCACAGAUCAGUGGGAGAAUACAGUAGGAGAUAUGGCUCAAGAGCAUGUGGAAUCUCCCAAACAGAAGAACCCACUGUCUGAUUUGACUGCUAUCUGGCAGGAGAUGAAAAGGGAACAUGAUGUAUUGCGCCAGCAAACCAGUCACUUUCCUGAACUCUUAUCAGCAUUCCAGGAGAUGAGACGAGAAAAUGCAAUUCUGCAUAGGGAAGUUAAGGAACUCAGGUUAGAGAUGAGAACCUCACCUCAUAGACUGACCCAUCCAGUUCCAUCACCUCGCCUACAUGCUACGGCAGGACGUACAAACCCAAGUGCAGAUCUAUUCUGCCCCAUACCUGCACCUCGUCAUAGCCUGGCACAACACAAAGUACACUCUGCCCCAAUUGAUUCUACAGAGAGGAUCACACAACAGAUGGGCCAAAUUGAUUUUUCUCCAAGACAUCGGUCAUUGCAGUAUGACCACCCAUCCAACCAGUUUCAGCCUAGCCCUUCGAACAAUAAGUGCUAUGACAUUCAUAAUGUUCAAGCACAAAACCAUCCUCCACAGCAUCAUACAGGUCCAUGCAAACAAGAGAAGACCUACAGAGGGCCAACUCCAACUAUUCCUAAUCUAAGCUCUCCAGACCCAAGAGAGUUUUCCAGAUUAAGGAUUGCCCUGGAGAAUAUUUUACCAGAAGAUGCUACAGAGCGCUUCAAGUUUCAGAUAUUGGCAGACCACUUAAAGCUUGAAGAAGCUCUACUUGUCGCUGAUUCUUACAGCAACUCUCCAUAUCCUUUUAGCAACACCAUGAGUGCUCUCAACAAAAUGUAUGGUCAGCCCCAUCAGUUGGCCUUGCAACACAUUGCAGAAGUUAUGGAUGGCCCAGAUAUUGGCAGUGGAGAUGUGAAGUCUUUCCGCAUGUUUGCUCUUCGAGUUCGCUCCCUCGUGAGCAUGUUGGAGCAGUUGGGGAGAAAGGGUAAUGUCGAAUUGGAAUGUGGAUCCCACGUCACAAGAUUACAGAGCAAACUCCCACAUGACCUCAGAUCUGGAUUUAAGCGAUACAUCCACCCAUUGGGAGUGUCUGUACCUACUUUACUUGAUCUGGCUGAAUGGCUGGAAUAUGAGCUGCAAGUCCAAGAGGAUAGCAUCAAAUUCUCUUCCCAUACUCACAGAGAUUCUUCC
rnacentral:lncRNA from 1 species